UACAGAGGUCUCAAGCGUUGUUCGGAUUCAUUGGGCGUAAAGGGUGCGUAGGCGGCGCGGUAGUCGGGUGUGAAAUCUCGGAGCUUAACUUCGAAACUGCAUUCGAUACUGCCGUGCUUGAGGACUGGAGAGGAGACUGGAAUUUACGGUGUAGCGGUGAAAUGCGUAGAUAUCGUAAGGAAGACCAGUGGCGAAGGCGGGUCUCUGGACAGUUCCUGACGCUGAGGCACGAAGGUCAGGGGGAGCAAACGGGG
rnacentral:rRNA from 1 species